GGUUUCAUAGUGUAGCUGGUUAUCACUGCGGUCUCUGAAACAUUCAAGAAAUCCGCCGACCCGAGUUCGAAUCUCGGUGAGACCU
rfam:Sugiyamaella lignohabitans strain CBS 10342 chromosome A, complete sequence.